CAUCUUAAUUCUUUUGUCCCCGCCGGCAAAUUGUAAAAAGUCAUUUUCUCUCUUCUCAGAUCUUUUCUCCGGUGAUGGAGCGCUUAGUUCAAGCAACCUCUGGUUAUGGGCCUGUAAAUACCACCGCCAUUAAUUCUGAACAAAAUCCUAAGAAGAAUGAUUCAAAAGAAUGGAAUUGUUAUAGAGAUUGCGUUUCAAAGGAAUCCAUUAUUCACAACUUCAAUAAUUUCAAGAAAAGUCAAGCGCCGGAGAGGUUGAUGGAGUGGUCCGAUGAGAAAUGGGUGGAACUUCCAAGCCAUGUUGUUUCGAGUGCCAGAUCGGCGUUUUCGAAAGGAAUUCCGAUUAUUGAAGUUGAAGUUGAAGGUGAUAAUUUUAUGUUUGAUUUUUAUCGGAUGUUGAAAAUUGAAAUCGGGAGUAGUGGGUUGCAACGAUCUAUUGCUUGGAUUGAUAUAAAGGGUAGUUGUUUUUUUCCUAAAUUUUUUGUUGAUGAAUCUUUAGUUGAUAAUUAUAAUAAUUAUUCUGAUGGUGAUGAAGAAUUAGUAGGUGAGAAAGAUGAGUGUAGUAAUAAUGGUAUAAACCCUAAGAUUGAAAUUGAAAUUAACAUAGAUAAUAUAAAUAAUGUUGAUAGUAAGAUUAUGAAUAACAAUGACAAGAAGAGGAAGCGGGAGGGCAAAGUAGUAGUUCAUGAUGUAGAGGAUACUGCUGAUUCUCGCAACAGUGGAACUGGUUCAGAACGGUUCAAUAUAAAACGUAAUUUGCAUAUUGAGGAUGAGAAACCUAUUGAUAAAUUUGAAUGGCCGAGUGUUAGGUUGAUUAAUGAGCAAGAAAAGGCGUUUUCGGAUGUCAAGAAAUUGUUUUUGGGUGGAAUGAAGAUGGUGGAUUCCAGAGUUGAGGUUACUGCCAUUCAUAAGCUUACUUAUACUGGACCUCAUGAAAAGGCGCGGGCUAUGGCUUUUCACAAGACAAUGCAGAUCACUCAGGCUGCUCGUGGAGGUCAGUCCAAUACUGUUUUUGCGUGGCAUGGGACAUCCAGAAAGGGAGUUUCAGAUAUAUUAGCUCAUGGGUUUGGAGUUCCGAGUAAGGUUUCCGGUUUACAAGCUCAUGGUGUUGGUGUUUAUUUGUCUCCAGGUCGGCUGCCUCAUCUUAGUGAUUUGUUAGCUCAGGCAGAUGAUAAUGGUGAAAAACAUGUUUUAUUGUGCCGGGUUGUCUUGGGAAAUUUGGAGAAAAUUGAUGCUGGAUCUCAACAGUUUAGUCCAUCUAGUACAGCUUUUGAUAAUGGGGUGGAUGAUACUGUGAAUCCUAAGUGGUUUGUAGUGUGGACGACCAAUAUGAACACUCACAUACUCCCUGAAUGUGUUGUGAGCUACAAAUGUUCCAAUGUUUUGCAAGGAACAAAAGAGGGAGAAGAGGAGGUCAUGAAGUGGGCACCUGAGGGACCGUCGAAGUUGUUUUUUUCUCAAUUGGGGAUCGCACUUCCAGCUUCGAAACUUGAAGAGCUGAAGGCUCUGUGCAGGGCAUUUAAGGCUGGGGAAUUGGCUAAAGAUUUGUUCGUCCAGCGUUUGAAAUCAGUUGUUGGCAAUGAGAUGCUAUAUUCUGCUAUGGCUAGGCUUCAAGCUUUUUAUGAGCAACACUUCAACGUGUCAAAUCCUGUGGCCUCUCUGUGGACUGGGUUAGUUGCAUAGCAUCAGCUUUGUAAAGGUAAUUGCCUUGAAAGUUUGCUGGAGCUUCAUUUAACAGAACUAUUUCAGUUGUUGGUGCCAGGGUACUUCGAUUUAAAAAUGGUGGAGCUUGUGAAACUCUUCGCCAAUCAAACAUGUUUUGAAUGACAGAUGGACUCCUGGCGUGUUCAGUGUAGCCAGCCUUAAGUAUGGUCAUGCAAGUGUUGAUGAUGGAACUUGGAAGCUGUGUGCUGGUGCUCGGAUUCUGAUUAAUGAUUGGGUACUCUAGUGGGCUUUGGUUUAAGGUUGAUGCGUUCUGGAUAUUUUGCUACCUUGUUCAUCUUGCUGUAUCAGAUCUGAUUUCCGACCUACAGAUGUUUACUUUUUUUCAAGGCAGCAAAAAAUAUUGGCCAAGGCUACGGGAGACCAGAAUUAUUGAGUACAUGUGAGAUUGGGCUUGUCAGCACGUAGCAAUCAAUUAAGUGCUUUAAUUUACUGUAUCAUCAAAAUUGUAUCAGUUUUGAGAAAACACACACACACACACAGAUCUCCUGAUGUGUUGUCUUUGUUUUUGGUAGUAGUGGUGGUUAAAAAUGGCAAGAAAAGCUUCCAUUUGCCUGAGCCAGAAUCUUUGAACUGAAAACUUUGUUCUUCGGGGUGCAUGUGUUUCUUUGCUGUUUAUUUCCCACAACUGAGCUAGCCAAUGUUUCAUAUAGAUGCCUGAAGCAAACUCUUACUGCUGUUUCUUUUUCA